CUACAGAGUGGGUCUAGGUCCAGGUACAGUCUCAGAACCACACUGCAAAACUGGCUUAGUCAGGUAGCUGCUGUAUCUGCUGCUUCCACUGUGAACUCAAAAACCACAUUGCCUGUGCUGCAGGCCGGAAAGCUGCUGAACCAGGAAGCUGUGCUGAUGCUGCUGACUGCCCCUGAGGUUAGAGAUUGACUAGACAUAGUGCCACUGUCAUCCCUGCUGGAGAAGGUCCGAAGCACCUCCACCUCUGUGCUUCCAGAGGGGCACUGUGGUGGCCACUUAAAAUGCUCAGGCUAUACCAUGCACUAGAGCAUCUACCUGGGCAAGGGAUAUGCUGUAUGACACUCUCCUGAUGCUGGGCAUGGCUGUGAGCCAAAGCACCCAGGCAGCCCUGCCAUCAGAAGGGUAAACCACGGACACCUGAUGCCUUCCUGAAGGAAGAGCACUACGCCUGCCAAACCAUCAAGCGUUGAUGCUCCAGCGCCUUCUACCCGUGGUUCUCCAGCCUCAGCAGAAGAGAGAGAAAUUGAUGACCCUGUCGUUGUAGCAUCCCCAUCACCCAGCAAUUAAUUUUAGUUCAAUGCUUCAAACGCUCUUCAGGCGCAGUGUGCGUUCAGCUGUGUCAGCUAAUGCAAAUGGGGGAUCUCAGAAGUCUUAAUGAAGUAACUAUCCCUGAACACUGGGAUCAAUACUCAGCAUCCAGCUGUCAAAUCAACACCAAGCCGCCUCCUGGAGCAGAUUGUUAAGCUGAUGCGAGUCUGGGCUCUGCCUCACCACUUGUCUCAGAGACAGAGUCUUGCUCUGUCACCUAGGCUGGAGUGCAGUGGUGCCAUCACAGCUCACUGCAGCCUCGACCUCCCCGUGCUCAAGUGAUCCUCACACCUCAGCCUCCCGAGUAGCCGCGAUCACAAGUUAAACAAACACAGUUCUUUACAUCAAUGCUUCCGUCCCUGGCCAUCUGGUCUCCUGUCCCCUCCAGACCCAAAACCAUGGGCUGGGCUGCAGCAAAAUGAGGGUGUACUCAGUGCACUGAGGCCCAUGUACCAUGAGAGAUGGUGA
rnacentral:lncRNA from 1 species